UGUGUGUGGUCUGUCUGUGUGUGUGUGUGUGUGUGUGGUCUGUCUGUGUGUGUGUCUGUGUGUGUGUGUGGGUCUGUCUCAGGGAUGGCUGGAGGCAUUUCCGUCUCAGGAGGCUAUACUUUGUGUGGGUGUGCAGGGAGCUGCAGUCCUUCUACUGGUUCGCUGAGCUGCUGAGUGCCUUACAUCACAAGCUGUGGAAGGAAAACAGACCUGACUAUCUGAACCUACAGCUCUUCGUCAGCCAGACAGAUGGACUUCAGAACAUCUCUGAGGAGAGGUACCGCCCCCUGAGUUCCCGGCUGAUGAUUGGCCGACCGAGGUGGAAGUUGCUCUUUGAGGAGAUUGGGAGGACCAAUAAGCAUAAGCGGGUGGGGGUGUUCUGCUGUGGGCCUAAAGGCAUCUCCAGGACCCUGCACAGACUGUGUAACUCAGACCGCUAUUCAGGAACCACGUUCGAGUUCAACAAAGAGUCCUUCAGCUGAGACCAGCUCCCCCUCACCGUGACCCCUAACCAUAGGCUCUGACCCCUGACCCCAGACUCACAUUGAGACAGGUGACUUGAACCUACCAUGAGGUGACUCACACUGGUUCUCCUUCCAUCAGAGAGAAGCAUCUCACACUCACUGGUGUUGAGUGACAUCAUCAGCGGGCAACUGGGACUUGUUCACGAACCAAGAAGACCUGGUUGUAAGCCACCAUUUUGAGAAAACACUGCCAUAUUGCUUGCCUCACACAAACUCAGUCCUUUCUAAUGGUGGAGAAGUGCCAUGGGGUAGGGCCGAGGGGUUGAUUUGGGAUGGGGUUCCCCUUUCUGUGUGGGGGCAUCAGGGCCUCGGGGCCUAGGGACAACCCUUUGCCACUCUGUAAGGGACUGUACAGGAAUUAGUAGUUCGCUCUGGACCACAGAGAGAUGCUGUACAACAACCUGAUGUCUGUUAUCACUUUCACUACCCUUCCUUCCUUCCUGUGCAAAUCAUUUACACUCGAAAUCCUCUAUGUAUUCAAAUGGAGUCAAACUCAACCACUCCUGGUGCCAGUAUUUUAGUAAUUGUUUUAUAUUUCAAUUAUUUAUAUUGUUUAAAGUUACUAGAUGUACUUUUCUCUCAUAGUGUUUCACCAUUUCUUCUGUGUCCCAUUUAAGACUGAACAACAAAACAGCUUUACACUUUACCAAACCAUACAUAUUUACCAUUGAUUAAGUAUUGAAGAAAUAUAUACAGUAUAUAUAUUUAAUUGUUUCUGAAUAAUGUUUUUUUGGAUGUUGGAUUGUUUUGAUGAGAGCAAAGCACAACCCUCAUUAAAAUAGGUUUUAUACAGAUCUAUUUACUACAUGUUAACUACACGGGUACUACAUGGAUACUAUGCGUCCACUGUCUGUUUCUACGAACUUGUUGUCUUUCCACAGCCAGUACAGCCCAAAAUAUCUUGGACACAUACAUUUUAUCAAGACGGUUUUAAUGCACCAUAUAAAAAUACAAUUUAUAUUAUGAAUUCA